AUGGCGAGCGCCAAGCUGGUGGUCGUGGCCGCGCUUGUGAUCCUGCUGCAAGCGUCGACGAGCGCGGUGGCCCGGCACCACCACCACGCCAAGCCGGACCCGUGCGACGACGCCGAGGACGACGGCCCCGAGCCGGGCAUGCAGCACAAGCACAAGAAGCCCCACUGCCCGUCGACCCCGGGCGGCCACGGCGGCACCCCGGGCAUUAUGACGGUGAACGGCUUCGAGAAGGGCCAGGAGGGCGGCGGGCCGGCGGCGUGCGACGGCAAGUACCACAGCAACAAGGACAUGAUCGCGGCGCUGUCGACGCGGUGGUACGCCGGCGGGCGGCGGUGCCACAAGACGAUCCGCAUCACCAGCAAGCGCGACGGGCGCACCGUGGAGGCCCGCGUGGUGGACGAGUGCGACUCCAACUACGGCUGCAAGGACGACGUCGUCGACACCUCCGCCGCCGUGUGGGAGGCGCUCGGGCUCGACACCGACGUCGGCGUCGUGCCUGUCACCUGGUCCGACGCCUGA
rnacentral:rRNA from 1 species